AGGGUAAUAGUUAACUAUAACAUUUAACUUGCAUUUAAAAAGUAUUGAAAUAUUUCAAUUUACCUUU
rnacentral:tRNA from 1 species